GGAAGCCGAGCUGAAAAACCUGGGGCACAGCUGGGAAAUUAUUGAAAGACGUGUCAGAAACAGACAGGAGCUUAGGAGUUUAGUCUCUGCCCUAA